UACAGCCAUAUCAUGUUAAAACACUGGUUCCCAUAUGAUCACUGAAGUUAAGAAGUCAAGACUGGUCAGUAACUAGAUGGGUGACCACUUGCGAAUACCAGGUGCUGUGA